UACGUAGGGUCCGAGCGUUGUCCGGAAUUAUUGGGCGUAAAGGGCUCGUAGGCGGUCUGUUGCGUCGGUUGUGAAAACCUGGGGCUCAACUCCAGGCCUGCAAUCGAUACGGGCAGACUAGAGUUCGGUAGAGGAGACUGGAAUUCCUGGUGUAGCGGUGAAAUGCGCAGAUAUCAGGAGGAACACCGAUGGCGAAGGCAGGUCUCUGGGCAUUAACUGACGCUGAGGAGCGAAAGCAUGGGGAGCGAACAGG
rnacentral:rRNA from 1 species